AAAAGCUCGUAGUUGGAUCUCAGAUCCGGCCGGACGGUCCGCCUACCGGUGGUCACUGUUCGCUGCCGAUCGUUCAGGCGGUUAUUCUUGAUGAUCUUCACCGGUUGUCUCGGGUGACCGCCAAGUUUACUUUGAAAAAAUUAGAGUGCUCAAAGCAGGCGCGACGCCUGAAUAAUUGUGCAUGGAAUAAUGGAAUAGGACCUCGGUUCUAUUUUGUUGGUUUUCGGAACACGAGGUAAUGAUUAAGAGGGACAGACGGGGGCAUUCGUAUUGCGACGCUAGAGGUGAAAUUCUUGGACCGUCGCAAGACGAACUACUGCGAAAGCAUUUGCCAAGAAUGUUUCCAUUAAUCAAGAACGAAAGUUAGAGGUUCGAAGGCGAUCAGAUACCGCCCUAGUUCUAACCAUAAACGAUGCCAGCCAGCGAUCCGGCUGCGUUCCUCAAAUGACGCGCCGGGCAGCUUCCGGGAAACCAAAGCUUCUGGGUUCCGGGGGAAGUAUGGUUGCAAAGCUGAAACUUAAAGGAAUAGACGGAAGGGCACCACCAGGAUUGGAGCCUGCGGCUUAAUUUGACUCAACACGGGGAAACUUACCCGGCCCGGACACAGGAAGGAUUGACAGAUUAAGAGCUCUUUCUUGAUUCUGUGGGUGGUGGUGCAUGGCCGUUCUUAGUUGGUGGGGCGACUUGUCUGGUUUAUUCCGAUAACGAACGAGACUCUAGCCUACUAAAUAGACGCUCCCGUCAUCUUGCGCGGGACGUUCUUCUUAGAGGGACAAGCGGCGUCUAGCCGCACGAGACAGAGCAAUAACAGGUCUGAGAUGCCCUUAGAUGUCCGGGGCCGCACGCGCGCUACAUUGAAGGACUCAGCGUGUGCUUUCCCUGUCCGAAAGGACUGGGUAACCCGUUGAACCUCCUUCGUGCUGGGGAUUGGCGAAUGUAAUUGACGCCAUGAACGAGGAAUUCCCAGUAAGCAUGAGUCAUCAGCUCGUGCUGAUUACGUCCCUGCCCUUUGUACUCACCGCCCGUCGCUACUACCGAUUGAGUGAUUUAGUGAGGUCUUCGGACUGGCUCUCGGUCUGGCCUCCGUGGUCGAGCCGACGUGCCGGAAAGAUGACCAAACUUGAUUACUUAGAGGAAGUAAAAGUCGUAACAAGGUUUU
rnacentral:rRNA from 1 species